rnacentral:tRNA from 2 species
UCCUUAGUAGAUCAGUGGUAGAGUGGUCAACUGUUAAUUGACUGAUUGCAGGCUCGAAUCAUACUUAGGGAG